rnacentral:misc_RNA from 1 species
UGUGAUGCGUUUUCAUAUCAGCAGCUAUAGCAUACAACAAAACAUCUCCAGUAAGUCAAGUGAGUCUAAUCCUCUACUACAAUAACAGAAGCAAUUAUGCCCACACUUUCUCACCAAACGGAAUGAAUGAAUAAAAUAAAAGGCAUUUCAAUAAAUCCCCGGCAUUUCAAUAAAUCCCCGAUGUGUUUUCCAAAAUUAUUACCAGUACCCAAAAAUAGAAAAUAUAAAAUUAAAAAUUCUCAGUCUUCAUAACGAGAAAGUCAAAUGUCAAAAACCAUUCGAGCAAAAAAAAAUGUCGAAAACCAUUUAUCACAAGAAGAAUAGCUCUAAAAUUAGACAAACCCUGCAAAGCAAUGAUAAUAAUUAUUAUUGUUAUUACUUAAAAUUUUUUUCCAUGAAUAAAAUACAAGAAACAGAAACUUGAAUGAUUAUCUAAAACUUAGUUCCAUAAUCUAAAUAUAGAAAUGACUUCAGCAAUAAAUUCAAAACCUCUGAUAAAUAUCAACACAUUAUUAAACUUUCAAAGUCAAAAGAUUAGAUUUCGAUACUUGGAAAGUCAUCGCUGCCAUUAG